GGAGUCAUGAAAUCAGAAAAGAGGGGUAAGAAAGUGGCGAUUAAACGGCUGUUAUUGAGACAAUGAUUGGGAUGAACGGGCGUAAUAAAUAAAGGCGUGGGGUUUGGUUUUAAUAAUUGAGAGAGAGAGAGAGAGAGAGAUGCAUAUGCAAUAAGCGAUGUGUAGAUAGGUGUGUGUUCCUUCGAUUUGAAGGAACGGAGAGAGAGAUAGAAAGAUAAGGGUCACCGUUUCACGGCCUCACGGGGGUUG
rnacentral:misc_RNA from 1 species